ensembl:lncRNA novel transcript
AUUGUCUUGAUCAAGCUUUCACCCUGUGAGAUCCACACACAGGAGGAGAGGGAUGCAGCUCUCAGCCGUUCACAGAGCCCGGCCCUACCGCACUGCUCAGUGUGCCUACUCUUGGCAAGAUGCAACUUCCCGUUCCGAGAAAAAGGACUUAGAAAGGAUCGUAAAAUGGGCUCCCAAGUCUCCUGGAAUAGCAAAUAGCUUUUAAAAGACAACCCUUUAAUGGCCUAUGAGUAACCAAGUCAAAAACAAAAGUAUUGAAUAUCCCUUUAAAUGUAUGUGAGUUUAAAAAGCAAGAUGGGAAUACAUUUGGCAAAGUUUCUUCUGGAUUUUAUAGAAUUCAAAAUACUCGAGAAAUUUUUACCUAUACGCCCACACACAACUGCAAAACUGUUAUAAACGACGUGGGGAGAUAACAAAAACGAUACUGUGCAAAUGCAAACAGUAUGCAGCUUCUGCACUGCUGUGCCUGAUGGAAACAUUUCUCUCUUUUAUGAGCUUCUCUUUGCGGAUGGAGACGGAAGAAAGAUGGGCGUAUGAGGCAGGGAGGGGAGAAAGGGGGAAGAGACGCCUAUUCCGGGGCUCCAUGGCUGUUCUCGAUACUCACUCGUGUUGCUCUUUAAAUGGAACCAUUUGCUGCACAUUUUGAAUCGUUAACAUUUGGUAGAAUAGGGGACAAUGGAUUUUCAUGUAAACUAUGAAUUUUAUGACAAUGAAUUAGCAUGUUCAUUGAACAGAAAGUAAACAAAGCUUAGUACAAAAUUGGUUCAGUAUAUAACCUAACUCUUCUGCUGCUUAAUGAAGUGAUGGGAUGAAACCAAAACAAAUAGCUUUAUGCUUUGUAAAGCACAGGGAAACAUACUUUCGUGUGUAAUUACUGCGUGGUUAUGACAAGGCUGGUACCUGCCUGAACCAUCAGUUACAAAGUUUGCAGCAACCACUCCUGCUUUAGCAGACUGGGUGUUGAACUAACAAAUUACAACACUGGCAUUAGAACAGAGAGGAAAAUAUACAUGCAAAUAUAGUCAGUUCUGACGAACCUCCAACAUCUGUUAAGCACCUACUGUGUGUGUACCAGGCACUGGGGAUAUGGCACAAUGAGAUGGGGGCAUUUGCAUUGUCCAGAACUCUAGGGAGGGUAGGGAGGAUGAGGUAUGAUUGUCUUAGUUGUUCUGUGAUGAUUAAUUUCGUGUCAUCUUGACCAGACCAGGUGUCUUCCUUUUUCUUCUGGGAUAUUGGAAGAAAAUGUUCAUGAUCUUCACAGUUUGAGUGAAGUGCAACAGUCUAACCGGGAUGUGUCUCAGUGACUGGCCUCUAUUUUCUUUUCUGGAUAAAGGUCCAUACCCAGGAAAAUUGAAACAUACGUCCCUACAAAAAUAUGUGCAAGAGUGAUCACAGCAGCAAUACUCACAGUAGUCAAAAAGUGGAGACAAUCCAGAUGUCCACGAACUGAUGAAAAGAUAAAGUGUGGCAUAUCCAUAUCCACAUAAUGGAGUGUUAUCAGCUGUAAGGAGGAAUGAAGUUCUGAUAGAUGCUACAACAUGCGCCAGCCUUGAAAACAUUAGGCUAUGUGAAAGAAGCCAGAUGCAGAGGCCACAUGUGUCAUUCCACACAUAUGAAGUUUCCACGGUAGACAGUUCUAUGGACACAGCACAUGGAUUCCUGGUUGCCUAGGGCUGGGGGUGGGGCGACUGGGGGGAAGUGAGGAGUGACUGCUAUGGGUAGAGGGCGUUUCUGGGAGGUGAGAAAGGUCUCUGAAAAUUGCUUGUGAUGGUGGUUGCACAACUUUGAGAAUAUGGUAAAAUUCAUUGAAUUAUAUACACUAAACGGGUGAACUUUAUCAUCGAAUUGUAUACACUAAAUGGGUGAACUUUCUCAUUGAAUUAUAUACACUAAAUGGGUGAACUUUCUCAUUGAAUUAUAUACACUAAAUGGGUGAACUUUCUCAUUGAAUUAUAUACACUAAUGGGUGAACUUUCUCAUUGAAUUAUAUACACUAAAUGGGUGAACUUUAUGGCAUAUGGAUUGUAUCUCAAUAAAGCUGUUGAAAACUUUAAA